UUUGACCCAGAACUUAUCUAGAGAAAAUUUGAGAAGAUAAUACAGAAAGCUCAUAUACUUCAAGCUAUGGGAUGAAUUGUGUUCAACAAAGAAGGAAAGAACCUUUCCUGGCUGAAGUCAGAGGCUGAGGUCAGAGGAAGACGUGACUAUAGAAGAAUGAUCAUAGGAUUGCAAUAUUGCUGGUCUUGAAGACAGAGGAAGGAUGUGGGUUACAUCUAGAAACUGGAAAAGGUGAGGACCACACGUGGAAAAGGGAGGCUGAGAAUGUAAGACAUCAGCAGAGUGUGGAUCUGAUAGCUGUGUUGGGACUAAUGGAAGAUAGAUGGUUUGAGAGGCACCCACACCCUUGGAGCCCAAAACCAUGCCAUGCACAUGUAACCAACCAGCUACAUGUGAAGAUCACAUAAAGGUGUUCUUGUCCUGGCUCUAGCUAAGGUUCCAGCUCUCAGUCAGCAUCAAUUGUGGAAGAUGGGAGUGCAUGAGCUUUUAGAUGAUUUCAGUCCCCUGCCUUUGACACCAAGUGGAACUGAGAUGAUCUUUCCACCGAGCCCUAGUCAAACUGCAGAUUCAUGAGCAAAAUAAACACCAUCAUUACUGAAGCAACAUGGCAUGUGGGGUGAUAUGUUGGGGAAGCCAUAGAUAAUCAGAGAAAGCUCCUUUUCUUUGUGAGCAAUAUUAUUUGCAUAGGAGAGAGACAAAGCUGCAUGGACUGGAAACUUCCAUGACCAAAAAAGAUGUCAUUUUCUAAGGGCUUGAGUGGGAGGUGGCCCUGACAGCAUCUGCAUGAGCCAGAGAUGCACUCACACUUUCAUUAUUGCUUGAGGGUGCCAAGAACUGUAGCAGUAAGAGCAGAAGCAGAAAUGAAGAACACGAAGGAUGCUAUGGAGUGAGAGAAAAGUCCAUGCUUGCAAGAAUCCAAAGACACCCUGUGAGGACGCCCCAAAAUACUCGAGGAAGUGUGUAAGUAGAGCUGGACCUUUCAUUCUCCCAGCUGGGGUAGAACUGGAGCCAUGUGUGCAGGGCCUGCUUCUUCUUCAGGGCUGCCGUGUCCUGGAAAGCCAAGCUUGCACAUGGGUUAUAGCACUCCACUUUCCCAAAGCCCUCAUAUACAUCAUCUGUUUCAGUGCUCGCAUUAACACCUGUGAAGUAGAUAUUAUUCCCAGGUCUCACAGCCCAUAAAUGGAAACUCUGCCGGGAAAUAAGUCCUGCUUUUCUCUCUGUACCAGAGCUGCCCCAGCAAAUUAAAGCUUAUUCUAAAUGUAGGUACCUAGAGCAUUUCUUAAAUUAAACCCAGAGUGAAUUCUGAACCUCAGUCUAAGCCUCUACUGAUUUGUCUAUUCUGUGAGUUCAGAGUUCUGCAUAGUAAAAUCUCAUUAAUUCAAUCUCCAUGAAUGUAGAAUUUGGGGUAGGCAUCAGAAAGCAGUCUCUCCUUAGUCACUUAGCCACACUUACUUUGGCCCAAUGACCCAAAAAUUUCUUGUUAAGGCCUUUCUUUAAAAUGAUCUCUAAGGCAGGCACUUUAUAAAUGAAAAUCACGCCCACCUAAGCCUAGGCUUGCAGGUUUGUCUGCCUCGGGCUUUCAGGUAUGUCUGGUUCUCUUACCCCAUCAAAGGGACAGACUGCUCACAGGUGCUUAAGAUCAUCCUGGCAUGGACCCUUGUUUUAUGCAAAGUGUGUGCCAGUGCUGGAUGUGAAAACACCAGUCGAUUCCCAUUCGCUGGUCUUAGCCAGUCAGAACCUUGCUUCUGAGGCAGGGUGAUACUGUGGUUACUUCUCUCAGAUUUCCCUCUAAUGUUUGGAAGUUCCUAUACACCAUACUGUUUUUGCAUUAGCCACAGAUGUAGGCUGCAAAUGUCUACUAGGCAGCAUGGGCUAACCAAAAUAAGGACACGAUUGACCCAACCUUGUCAUUCUUAGAGACACUGGAAAUCUCCUCAAGUUGGUAAUAACUAGAAUUUUUUAUCAAAUAAUCACUGUUUUACAGAUAAAGAUGGUGCCUCCACAUAAACUGAACAUAUGGCCGGCAAAGAGCACCCCUAUUCCAUCAUCCAAGUUCUCCUUCCUUAGCUGAAGUGAAAACAUUUGAAAUUGAUGAUACAAAGUGCUGGGGAGGGUGGAGAGAAAUGGCCCCUGUCUAAGCUAUAUGGAGAGUGAAUAGCAAGGCAGUUUGCCAAUAUCUAUCACUUGUUAAAUCCACAUACACUUUGCUCCAGGAAUUAGAAUUUCAGGAAUUUAUCUUAAAACUGUUGUAACAACACAUAUAUGAAGAGGUUUAUUGUAGCCUUGCUUACAGUGACUAAGUAUCAGAAACAACCUAGAUAACUGUCAGUGGGAACUGGUUGAAUAAUUUGUUUUAUCAACAUGUAGGAAAAUAUCCAAUCUCUAUAGAGAAUGAGGCAAACUUUUACAAACUUUGUAAGAUGUAUUUCUAAGUAAAAAUAAACAUAAGAACAAACAAAUGAAAAUAACAAUGACAUGAUUUAGAAGAGUGUAUAAAAUAAAAUACAAAAGACACACACAUACACAACUCAGCAUUACAGUGAAAAUUUUGGAAAGAUAAAAUGGAAACCAUUAUAAUGGUUACAGCUAGUAUUCUGGUAAAAAAGAAACAUAUUUUCAAGAUACUGUUCAGUACCAUUUGAAGUUUUUAUUUAUUUCAUUUUUAAACCAUGUAUUACAUUUUUUAAAUUAAAAGAAAGCAAAAGCUAAAAGCAAUAUGAACACAGAAAAGUCAGUAUGAGGUUGUCGAUACGUAAAGUUUGAAAGUGCAGACUUUUCAAAAUGGCAUCACAGGAAAACUAAGGAAUAUAUACAUUUUGGACAUCAAAUUGCAUCCCAGCACGGAGAAUAUUUCUUGAAGAAAGUGGCUGGGUUUGAUUUAAGGACUUGAGGGCUGGGGUAUUUUGCCACAAAACUCUAUUUUUUUCUUUCCCAAAGUGCGUGUGACCCUGGGGUUAACUACAUUCAAUGUUUUAUCAACUCACCCUUUCAUACACUCUGCUAUACUAUUUUGAAACCAAAUUUAGGCUACUUUGCAUCAGCCAGUGAAAAGCCAAUUUCAAAUUGACACAUAUGUUGUUGUUAUCUGCUGGUCAACGGUUCUGUUUUAGCAGGUUGUCAUCUUUGUUUCUGUUUUUGUGAUCUUGUUGCUUUUAUUUUUGAGACUAUUAUUUUGAUUCUGUUGCCCAAAGCUUCUCUAGAAAAAAAUUUCACAGGGAGGGAGCAGCUGCCAAGAUCCACACCUUCUUCCCUCCACACCAACUCACUCCAUCAUCUUCAACAACUGCCAACCUAUUCAUCCUGCUUCAGUUGGAAGAGCUAAACUUUUUGUUUAUUUUUGGAUUCAAGAUAAAAUUUUAUUCAAAAGAUGGAAUCCUGUAAUAAAACACUCUUGGAAAAUAAUCUUUAAUUGCAGUUUGCAUAUAAUAUUAUUUCAAAUUGAAUAUGAUACAGACAAAUUAAACGGCUAAUGCCAGUGUUAAAAAAUGCAAGUUUCCUAAAUGUAAUGUAAUUGAGAUAAAGACAGUAUUUGUUAGGCUUGCAAAGAAGAGACUAUUUAAGUAGAAGUAUGAGGUAGGGCUAAGCACAUGGCUUUUGGGGCCAGAAUGCCUGGGCUUAGACCUUAGUGCUGCUAAUUAUUGGCUAUGCAAACUUGGGCAAUCAUUUACACAUUCUGUGCUCUGCAUAUAUGACAUAGAAAUGUUCCUGGUGCUAGUGAUAUCACAUAGCUUUGUUAUGUAAUUUAAUCAAUUACUUGAAGGACUUAGACCAUGCUCAGUGCACAGUAAGCAUUAUAUAAAUAUUAGCUACUGUCAUUACCUUUAAUCAGGUGCUCCUUAUUAGGCUUAAUACUAUGUUCAAAGGUUAAUAUGCAUGAAAUAUUGGAAACAUAUUAAUAUUAUUUGGAGUUUUAUAAUCUACUUUGGCUUUGGGGGAAAUGAAUCACUCAUGAUAUGAAAAUCAAUAAUUCAACUUCUACACAUUUAAAUUCCAUAUAUAUUUUCAGGACACACUAAAUAACACAUUAGAAGCCUUUCUGCUCAAGUAUCUUAGUCAUUUUCUAGACAUAAUUUACAUACAGUAAAGUCCACAAAUCAGUUAUACAGAUGCAGACACCUAUGUAACCACCACUCAGAACACGAGAGAACAUUUCCAGCAACCAAGAAGGCUCCCACCUGCUCCUUCUCAAUCAAUAUCCCUAAAACAGUGAACCCUCUGACCUCUACCCUUUAAUUAGCUUUUCCUGUCCUUAAGGUUCAUAUAAAUGAGCUCAUUCAGUGAGUUCUCUUUGUGUCUGGCUCCUUUUGCUUGGCAAAUCUGUGAGUCCCAUCAAUGUUGUAUGAUAGACUACAAUCAUUUGCUCUAUUCUGUUGAUGGACCUUUGAGUUGCUUCCAGUUUGGGGCUAUUUGAAUUAAACAUUUUUAUAGAUCACGAGGUCAGGAGUUCAAGAACAGCCUGGCCAACAUAGUGAAACCCCGUCUCUACUAAAAAUACAAAAAUUAGCUGGAUGUGGUGACACGUGCCUGUAGUCCCAGCUAUUCAGGAGGCUGAGGCAGGAGAAUCGCUUAAACCCAGGAGGUGGAGGUUGCAGUGAGCCAAGACCACACCAUUGCACUCCAGCCUGGGUGACAGAGUGAGACUCUGUCUCAAAAAAACAAAACAAAACAAAACAACAUUUUUGAGCAUUUUUGUACGUGUCUUCUGAUGAAUACACAACUUGCAUCUCUUGAGGAGGGAGAUUUCUGAAUCAUAAUGUAGGCUUUUGUUUAGCACAACAGCCCACCAGUUUUUCUUUGCAUUUCGUAAGGCAAGUUGCACCAUUCUUGUCCCAGAUUGGAGGCCAACUUUUCUUCAGCAAUGUGGCAGGGUGGCCUGUACUAUGGGUGUAUUAGCCUGUUCUCAUGCUGCUAACAAAGACAUACCUGAGACUGGGUAAUUUAUAAAGGAAAGAGGUUUAAUUGACUCACAGCUCCACAUGGCUGGGGAUUCUCACAAUCAUGGCGGAAGGCAAAUGAGGAGCAAAGUCAUGUCUUACAUGGCAGCAGGCAAGAGGCCAUGUGCAGGGGAACUCCCCUUUAUAAAACCAUUGGAUCUCAUGAGACUUAUUGACUAUCACAAGAAUGGUGUGGGAAAGAGCCACCCCCAUGAUUCAAUUACCUCCCACUGGGUCCUUCCCAUGACACAUGGGAAUUAUGGGAGCUACAAUUUAAGAUGAGAUUUGGGUGGGGACACAGCCAAACCAUAUCAGUGGGCAAGUUCAAUAAGCAAUGAAUGCUUAAGUACCCACCAGAGCACUGAAGCCACAGAGGUAGGAGGACCAAGAAUAGGCAUCUUGGCUGGUGACACUCAGACGUCAAGAUCCAAAUCUACAGUUUCUAUAGAGGAAAGCUUCCACUGGCAGCCAGGCCCCUGCCUUCAGGGAUGCCUCAGGCCCUGAGAGUUCACCUCUUUCUCCUGGCAAUGUCAAGUUCCACAUUUCUGAGCCAGGCAGAGGAAAUUAUUUGUGAAUUUAUGACAGAGAAAAUAUUCUUUAAACAGAAUCUUCCCUGAUUAUUGGAGCAAAUUUGGCUGCUAGGAACUGCUUCUCCCUAUUAGCUCAUUGGGAACAGAGGGGAGAGCCUCUCACUCUGCUUAACCCCCUAUGGCUCUGUUCCUUGCCAGAGAAGGGGCCCAAUAAAUGCUUGACAAGUUAAAUGGAAAUGAUUUUUCCCCUUUUAAAUGUCUCCUCACUAUGGCAUGUCAUUUAUACAGGACGAAGCUUUUAUUACAUUCAUCCUCUUUCCUCCUACCUAAUCCUCUUGUCUUUCAUCCUCCAUCCACCUGUCCUAUUGCAUUUGGGACUCAACAUGUGACAUGGAAUAAUAGUGGUUAAAGCAUUAGUUUAAGGGCCAAAAUGCCCAUGUUCAAACCCUGUUCUGCCCCAUAAUAGCCACUAGAUCUUUAUCAAAUAACUGUACUAUAUCACAAUUUUUUGUGUAAAUAAAUAAGUUAAUAUAUAUAGAAGUGCUUAGAAUUAUGCUGGGUUAAGGCCUACAUAAGUGUUACCAAAUAUUAUGUGAGAACCUACAGGGGAAAAAAAAGAAGGGAACCUCUGUUUAGCCAGAGUUCCUCCUCUAUAGAGGUCUUCUACUCUGAAAACAUCACCCUUAAUUAUUCCCAAAACAGUCUGCAAUAGUGAAGGAUACCAACCAGUAAUCCCUCAUGUCUAAUUAUACCCUUAAAACUUGCAAGCACCUUAUAUUCAGAAUAUAUUUGAAUGCUUACAGAAACCUUUUGAAAAAGAAGAAGAGGUAGUAUCCCUAUUUUGCAGGAACUAAAGUUCUUGGGCUUUCUAUCAUGCAACCAUCUAAUCACUCAUUCACCCAUUCACUGAUAUAGAGAUUGUGUUAAGCCCCUCCCAAUCCCAGUCCCCAUCCCCCGCACACUGUGUGCUACACCCAGUUCUCCUGCCUGGUCAGCCAGAGCCCAGGUCUUCUAAUAGCCAUCCUGCUCUAGUCCUACCCACCAGACCCCAGCCCUCUGUGAGCUUUUAUUCGACUACUCACUUCUCCAUCUCUCUUUUCUACCUCUUCCUCAUCCAGACUUUCAUCACCUGAACAUCACAUUCACUGCAUUUAAGUUGAAUGGCUUCCUAACUUAAUAACUUACAUAAAAAUUAUGCAUUUUAUUGUAUACUAUGUGUUUAAUAUUUAGCAGAAAGAAUAACAGAUAGAAAAAAUGAAAGAGUAAAUGAAAAUACAGAUAUACAAUAAAUGAAAAAGAGAGUCUAUAUUUUACCACUCUGGAUAAUUGCUAUAUCUCUAGAGCAGAUAUGUAUAUGUGUAUGUAUAAAUUUUAACAAAAUUGGUAUUGGAAUACACAUAACAUUUUAAAACAUACUUGUAAACUUUAAUAUCUAUCUUUCCAUGUCAAUACAUAUUUAUCAACCAAAUCAAUUUUAAUUGACUGGACAAUGUUGCACAGUAUAGAUAUCCAUUGCUUAAUUUGACCUGUUAUUGAACAGUAGGUUAUUUCCUUUUAUAGAAAUGUUUUGCUAGUAUAAACAAUGCUAAGAUAAACAUCCUUGUAUAUACUUUUAUGUUCAUAUCCUUAAUGAUGUACUUUAAAUAAAUUCUAACUGGUGACACUGCAGUCUUAUUUUUAACACUUUUGAUAGCUUUUGUAACACUGUCCUUCAGAAAGACUAUGCUAGUAAAAGGGUACCCACCACAUGCCAGCACUAGUAAGUAUUAUGUAAAACAAAUAAAAAUAAAAACUAGGCCAG
rnacentral:lncRNA from 10 species